GGAAGCGAUUGGAGGGCUGGUGCCCCUCUUUGACUUCAAAUCAACAGUUGUCCCCAUAAGGGCAAGGCGGGUUCGAUUCCCGUACGCUUCCGCCA
rnacentral:tRNA from 1 species